rnacentral:rRNA from 1 species
ACUCCUACGGGAGGCAGCAGUGGGGAAUAUUGCACAAUGGGCGCAAGCCUGAUGCAGCCAUGCCGCGUGUAUGAAGAAGGCCUUCGGGUUGUAAAGUACUUUCAGCAGUGAGGAAGGCGGAGUCGUUAAUAGCGUAUUCGUUUGACGUUAGCUGCAGAAGAAAGCACCGGCUAACUCCGUGCCAGCAGCCGCGGUAAUACGGAGGGUGCGAGCGUUAAUCGGAAUUACUGGGCGUAAAGCGCAUGCAGGUGGUGUGUUAAGUCAGAUGUGAAAGCCCGGGGCUCAACCUCGGAAUAGCAUUUGAAACUGGCACACUAGAGUACUGUAGAGGGGGGUAGAAUUUCAGGUGUAGCGGUGAAAUGCGUAGAGAUCUAGAAGGAAUACCAGUGGCGAAGGCGGCCCCCUGGACAGAUACUGACACUCAGAUGCGAAAGCGUGGGGAGCAAACAGGAUUAGAU